rnacentral:rRNA from 1 species
AUUGAACGCUGGCGGCAUGCUUUACACAUGCAAGUCGAGCGGCAGCGCGGGGGCAACCCUGGCGGCGAGCGGCGAACGGGUGAGUAAUGCAUCGGAACGUACCCUGGAGUGGGGGAUAACGCCGCGAAAGCGGCGCUAAUACCGCAUAUGCUCUGAGGAGGAAAGUGGGGGACCCGCAAGGGCCUCACGCUCUGGGAGCGGCCGAUGUCCGAUUAGCUAGUUGGUGGGGUAAAGGCUUACCAAGGCGACGAUCGGUAGCUGGUCUGAGAGGAUGAUCAGCCACACUGGGACUGAGACACGGCCCAGACUCCUACGGGAGGCAGCAGUGGGGAAUUUUGGACAAUGGGGGCAACCCUGAUUCAGCCAUGCCGCGUGAGUGAGGAAGGCCUUCGGGUUGUAAAGCUCUUUUGGUCGGGAAGAAAGUGCCCUGCUUAAUACGCGGGGUAUUUGACGGUACCGGCAGAAUAAGCACCGGCUAACUACGUGCCAGCCGCCGCGGUAACAC